CACGUAGGGCGCAAGCGUUGUCCGGAAUUAUUGGGCGUAAAGAGCUCGUAGGUGGUCUGUUGCGUCCGCUGUGAAAUCUCGGGGCUUAACCCCGAGCCUGCAGUGGAUACGGGCAGACUAGAGGUAGGUAGGGGAGAAUGGAAUUCCUGGUGUAGCGGUGAAAUGCGCAGAUAUCAGGAGGAACACCGGUGGCGAAGGCGGUUCUCUGGGCCUUACCUGACACUGAGGAGCGAAAGCGUGGGGAGCGAACAGG
rnacentral:rRNA from 1 species